UGGGGAGUAUUGCGCAAUGGGCGAAAGCCUGACGCAGCAACGCCUCGUGAGUGAAGAAGGCCUUCGGGUUGUAAAGCUCUUUCGACAGGGGUGAAGAGUGAUCUGGUAAACAAUCAGAUCAUCUGACGGUACCUGAUGAAGAAGCACCUGCUAACUCCGUGCCAGCAGCAGCGGUAAUACGGAGGGUGCAAGCGUUGUUCGGAAUUACUGGGCGUAAAGCGCACGUAGGCGGAUUUGUAAGUCGAGUGUUAAAUCCCUGGGCUUAACCCAGGACUCGCAUUCGAAACUGCAAACCUUGAAUGCUAGAGAGGGUGGGAGAAUUCCUGGUGUAGAAGUGAAAUUCGUAGAUAUCAGGAGUAAUACCUGAGGCGAAGGCGCCUGCCUGGCUAUGCAUUGACGCUGAGGUGCGAAAGCGUGGGGAGCAAACAGG
rnacentral:rRNA from 1 species